ensembl:rRNA 5S_rRNA 5S ribosomal RNA
GACAUUUGGUAGAGACUGUUGAAGCCACCGGGUCCCAGCAGACCCCGGAAGGUGGGUAUAGUUGCUGGUGCUGGGGCAAGGUCAUUAAGGGUGAAGCCUAGUGCCAGAUGUGU